rnacentral:lncRNA from 8 species
CAGGGAAGUAAACACAUUUUAGCACAACAUUUGAGAGAAAUAAGCUUUUGGUGCUUAUUGAACAUUUCUGGGAUAUUUUAUUUCUGCUCAUGAAAUAUUUGACCAAUACUUUACAUUUAUAUUUUUGUUCAGUGUAGAAACAUUCUUAUUUCAAACGCUGCAUAGGCUAUCAAGAAAUUGGAUACUUCAUUACCACCUCUCAUUUCUUUACAUAAGAAAUUAAGUGACUUAUAGGCAAUAAGGGAGAUAACUAUAAAAAUGGCAUUACUUAAAUUAUGGGGUUAAUGCACAAGGGGAACAUUGUCUUUCAUGGUAAAAGGUAUGGCUUUCUAUACUAUCUAUUUACCAAUAUUACACCGGCUUUAGGACCCAGGUGCACAACCGUUUCCAGACACUGGUUGAAGUGAUAGCUUAUUCUCGUCAUUCAAUAUCUCAUAUCAACGAACAAAACGCCGCAGUUUCCAAAGACAAGACAGAGGGAAACUUGUUGCGGAUAGAGAUCUAGUCAAUGAUACCGAGGACAAUCACUUGGGUCGGUGUACAGCCUUCUCAACAGCUGUCAGGAGCUUCUAUCUGCGUCUCCAUCUGCAUCCUCGGUGAAUUCCUCCACCGGGGCGCCGCCAAGGCAGGAGACUCGCCGCUUGUUUCACGGUUGUGAGGUACCACCGGAGACACCAUGAGCCAGAGGUUUACCGUGACCGCCUUUUCCAAGAGCGACAGCGGCCGUAACGUGUCAGACAUCCAGGGCGAGGUGAACCAACUGUUCGAGGGAGAUGAACCCACUCCGAGCUCUUCAAACAAAGAGGUGUCUUUCAAUACGGAGGUAGUGGUCGUGCAAGAUUAGACACUCUCUUUCGUUGCCAAUGGGAAUUCAAGAAGGCUGCUUCAUGCUUCCUCUUCGAGAGUGAAGUGGACUUCCCACUUAUCAAAGAAGGAGCCCACAGGGCCAGGUGGCUUUCAAGACAUACCGUAUGCUUAGGGAACAUCAGACCAAAUGGGACCCUCUUGUUAUGUGUAGAGUAACAGUCUGAAGGCAAAGCUACAGCUGAACAAUAAAGGGAUGGCCAACAACUAAGACAAAAUGUGUUGCACAAGUGUCUCCAACUGGGUUUGUAAUACAGUAUAUUCAAAAGUAUGUGGACAUCUCUUCAAAUGAGUGGAUUUGGCUAUUUCAUUGGCAGUAGAAUGGCCCCGUACUGAAGAGCUCAGUGACUUUCAACGUGGCACCGUCAUAGGAUGCCACCUUUCCAACAAGUCAGUUCAACAAAUUUCUGCCCUGCUAGAGCUGCUCCGGUCAACUGUAAGUGCUGUUAUUGUGAAGUGGAAAUGUCUAGAAGCAACAACGGCUCAGCCGCGAAAUGGUAGGCCACAUAAGCUCACAGAAGAGGACUGCCGAGUGCUGAAGUGCGCAGCUCAUAAAAAUUGUCUGUCCUCAGUUGCAACACUCACUACCGAAUUCUAAACUGCCUCUGGAAGCAACGUCAGCACAAAAACUUUUCGUUGGAAGCGUCAUGAAAUUAGUUUCCAUGGCCGAGCAGCUGCACACAAGCCUAAGAUCACAAUGUUCAAUGCCAA